CGUCAGAGGCACUUAACACUGAAUACAACCUGUGUAGGACCAGAGCGGUUCACGCAACCAUGUAAGUAACAGAACGUAUAUAAGUAAGUAGUAUUUAUAAUAUUAUAUUAUUAUUAUAACAGUUUGUAACAAGGUAAUGCUAUAUUAUUAUUGCUUACUGCUUUGAAAAUUACAAAAGCAUUACAUGAUAGAAAGAUAAUUGGAUAAUACAAUAUUCCUCUAGCGACAUAAAAUUAUGGUAAAACAUCAAACUACUAAGGCGAGUAGACAUAACAUUUGGUCAUAAAGGUUUUUGUUUAUGAUUUAUUUAUUAUUGAAGUAUAAUGUAACUAGCUUGGUCCACUGUAUAAGAUGACCUCACCUCAGGCUUCUGCUCAAUCACUUUUGUUUGAGCUCGAAACAGACAGAUUAGUUAUGAGAUUAAGGGAUUCCUGUGGCACACUGAACCAAUCUUGUCUUUCUAAGAGCAGAGAUCCAACCAACGGAUUGAUGCUGAUACUUAAGUGAAAAGGGUCUUCAACUGAUUGACAAAAAUAUAAGCCAUUCAUAUGUCAUGUUUAGUGAUAUGUUUUUAUAACUUGCAAUCAAUACAGCACAUUCUUUAUUUGUCCUUGGGGCAUAUGCAGGCACACUGAAGCCACAACGGGUUCAGAAGUAGAUAAUCUGAGUUAGUAGAAAUUUGAUUUUUUUUUUUUUUUUUCAGUCGUCAGGUCUGCUUACCUGACCAGCCAGUCCCUUCUACAUUCUGUUUGAAUCCUAAUCUACUCAUUUUUGUAAAGUUUUGUCAAAGUGUGAGGUUCUGCCUUGUCAGAUUAUUAAGCAUUUUUAAUUGAGCAUAAAGUAUUAAGCAUAAGGAAUUAAUUAAUUCACAAGCUCCAUCCACAAAACAAGUCAUACGAAGUCAUUCAAAUCCUCAAAGCAGAGCAAAUGGGGACCCAUGCAUGUUUAUAUAGCAUGGCAGAUUUAUUACAAGGAACAACAAAUGAAAUCGCCACUUAAAUAUAAGAGUAUGCAUCAAGAACUGGCAACAAUAAAUGACCCUUUUGUACAAUGUAAUGUAGAUACAAACUCACUCACUCUCAAGUCAAAAUGCUACAACUGGAGGCAACAGUACAGGCUACAAUGGUACAGGAAGUGCCACACAGAGUAUCCCAGCACCUUUAAAGACAAGAGGCAAAAGCAAGAAGGACAAGACACUUCUGAGAUCUCUGUCAGUAAGGACUUUCUGUCACAAAUGAUAUCAGAUUUGAACAUGAGAGUUUUUUACUCCAAUAGUGGAAGAUGGAAUAAUCCUCUACCGUCCAUUCACUAACUAAGUGUAAAUCAGAUGUUCUGUCACCAGAUGCCAUCAGUGGAUAAAUAUAUACUGCUGGUGAGUUCAGGAACACCUUUUUUCUGCCCCCAAGUUUUCACUCAAGAUUUUAAGAAGUCUUUAAUUCAAGCAUCGGGGGAAACUUCAAAGUGCAGCAUUUGUCGAUUCUACCAGCCUCAUUAUGGGCUUAUGACAACUACUGGUUUGGGUUUAGAACACUGUCUGCGCAGCCAGUGUAUGGAUAAAUAUACAUUUAUGUGAGAAGUUGUAUAAUAUUAACUUAAUAAAUAUAAUGAUUGUCUGGAUUUUUGGGGACUGGUGAGAUCAGUCAACCCUCUCUGAGAAUUACUUUACAGUGAUAUAUCUAUGUUAUAGGUGUAGUAGUGUACACAGUGUCCAACUUCUAACAUUUUAGAUUAUAAUGUAAUAGAACUACUGCAAUUACUUGACCAAUUAGUUUAGAAAAUACUGAAAACAAAUUAAUGACAAUGUUUCUUUCUAUAAAAAUUCUAUUUAAAACUGUGAACAGGAAUAUUGAACAAU